CUCAGAUUGAACGCUGGCGGCAGGCCUAACACAUGSMAGUCGAGCGGUAGAGAGAAGCUUGCUUCUCUUGAGAGCGGCGGACGGGUGAGUAAUACCUAGGAAUCUGCCUGAUAGUGGGGGAUAACGUUCGGAAACGGACGCUAAUACCGCAUACGUCCUACGGGAGAAAGCAGGGGACCUUCGGGCCUUGCGCUAUCAGAUGAGCCUAGGUCGGAUUAGCUAGUUGGUGAGGUAAUGGCUCACCAAGGCUACGAUCCGUAACUGGUCUGAGAGGAUGAUCAGUCACACUGGAACUGAGACACGGUCCAGACUCCUACGGGAGGCAGCAGUGGGGAAUAUUGGACAAUGGGCGAAAGCCUGAUCCAGCCAUGCCGCGUGUGUGAAGAAGGUCUUCGGAUUGUAAAGCACUUUAAGUUGGGAGGAAGGGCAUUAACCUAAUACGUUAGUGUCUUGACGUUACCGACAGAAUAAGCACCGGCUAACUCUGUGCC
rnacentral:rRNA from 1 species